rnacentral:rRNA from 1 species
ACGGCUCAGUAACACGUAGUCAACCUAACCUAUGGACGGGAAUAACCUCGGGAAACUGAGAAUAAUGCCCGAUAGAACACUAUACCUGGAAUGGUUUGUGUUCCAAAUGAUUUAUCGCCAUAGGAUGGGACUGCGGCCUAUCAGUUUGUUGGUGAGGUAAUGGCCCACCAAGACUAUUACAGGUACGGGCUCUGAGAGGAGUAGCCCGGAGAUGGGUACUGAGACACGGACCCAGGCCCUAUGGGGCGCAGCAGGCGAGAAAACUUUGCAAUGUGCGAAAGCACGACAAGGUUAAUCCGAGUGAUUUGUGCUAAACGAAUCUUUUGUUAGUCCUAGAAACACUAACGAAUAAGGGGUGGGCAAGUUCUGGUGUCAGCCGCCGCGGUAAAACCAGCACCUCAAGUGGUCAGGAUGAUUAUUGGGCCUAAAGCAUCCGUAGCCGGCUCUGUAAGUUUUCGGUUAAAUCUGUACGCUUAACGUACAGGCUGCCGGGARUACUGCAGAGCUAGGGAGUGGGAGAGGUAGACGGUACUCGGUAGGAAGUGGUAAAAUGCUUUGAUCUAUCGAUGACCACCUGUGGCGAAGGCGGUCUACCAGAACACGUCCGACGGUGAGGGAUGAAAGCUGGGGGAGCAAACCGGAUUAGAUACCCGGGUAGUCCCAGCUGUAAACUAUGCAAACUCAGUGAUGCAUUGGCUUGUGGCCAAUGCAGUGCUGCAGGGAAGCCGUUAAGUUUGCCGCCUGGGAAGUACGUACGCAAGUAUGAAACUUAAAGGAAUUGGCGGGGGAGCAC